rnacentral:rRNA from 1 species
UACGUAGGGUGCAAGCGUUGUCCGGAAUUAUUGGGCGUAAAGAGCUCGUAGGCGGUCUGUCGCGUCGGCUGUGAAAACCUGGGGCUCAACUCCGGGCCUGCAGCCGAUACGGGCAGACUAGAAUUCGGUAGGGGAGACUGGAAUUCCUGGUGUAGCGGUGAAAUGCGCAGAUAUCGGGAGGAACACCAGUGGCGAAGGCGACUACCUGGCCUGUUAUUGACGCUGAGGCGCGAAAGCUAGGGGAGCAAACGGG